GGCAACCCUGACGGAGCAAUACCGCGUGAGGGAGGAAGGCCUUUGGGUUGUAAACCUCUUUUCUUAAGGAAGAAGCUCUGACGGUACUUAAGGAAUCAGCAUCGGCUAACUCCGUGCCAGCAGCCGCGGUAAUACGGAGGAUGCAAGCGUUAUCCGGAAUUAUUGGGCGUAAAGCGUCCGUAGGCGGUGAGUUAAGUCUGCUGUCAAAGCCUGCAGCUCAACUGUGGAGUGGCAGUGGAAACUGUAAAGCUAGAGUACGGUAGGGGUAGAGGGAAUUCCCAGUGUAGCGGUGAAAUGCGUAGAGAUUGGGAAGAACACCAGUGGCGAAAGCGCUCUACUGGGCCGUAACUGACGCUCAGGGACGAAAGCUAGGGGAGCG
rnacentral:rRNA from 1 species